rnacentral:lncRNA from 1 species
GUCAAAGAGCGCAACCAAUGCGAGCAUGACCCUAAUAGUAGUGUACUUGACAACUGGUGAGAAAAUCUCGUUAUAAUCAACACCUUUCUGUGUGUAACUCUUUGCUACUAACCUAGCCUUAAAUCUUAAGGGUUCUGUACUACUAGUACCUUCCUUAACCUUAAAGACCCACUUGCAAUCAAUGAUUGAUUUAUUCUUAGGACUUGGUACUAACUCCCAAGUUUGAUUCUUUUCUAGAGAACUCAUCUCUUCUUUCAUAGCCUUAAGUCACUCCUUAGAUUGACCACUAUUUAUAGCCUCUUCAAAAGUUUUCGGCUCCCUAUCAACUAGUUCUUCGUAACUAGCGUAUGCAAAAUCCAAUUCAGAUUCAUAGCCGAACCUUCUAGGUUCUCUUGUUUGUCUUCUCUCUCUAUCUCUAACUAAAUUAUAAUUAGCUAAUGGAUUUUCUUCCUCAGGAUGCUCUUCUAUCACUACUUCAUUUUCCUCUUCAGGUUCUUGGACCUGAAUCUCCACCUCACUUGAAGUACUAGGUACUGAUGUGUUAAAUUUUCCUAACUCCACCUUAAACCGAUUUCUUUCUUCACUUGAUUCAGUUUCACUUACAGGUUCGGUUUCGUUCUUUAGACAAGGCAUCUCACUCUCAUUAAAUGUGACAUCCCUACUCACGAUGAUCUUAACUCCUUUUUGGUUUCUAUCCCAUAGCCUAUAGCCCUUAACCCCUUCGAGAUAUCCUAGAAAGACACACUUCCUGGCUGUAGGUUCUAACUUUCCCUCACUUUGAUGAGAAAAGGCAGCACAACCAAACGCUUUAAGCAUUGGGUAGUCAUCCAAUUUUUCAGACCAUUUCUCAUGUGGAGUAUCACCAUUUAAUGCAGCCGAUGGAGUCAAAUUUAUUAAAUAACAGGCAGUGACAACGGCUUUACCCCAAAAUGACUUAGGAACCCCAGAACUUAACAUCAUGCAGCGCACUUUGUCUAGUAUGGUCCUAUUCGUUCUUUCUGCUACCCCGCUUUGCUGGGGAGUAUAAGGAACCGUUUUGGGCCUUGUUAUUCCACUUUCUUUACACAUCCUAUCGAAUUCAGCAUUACAGAAUUCUAGGCCGUUAUCUGUCCUUAAAAAUUUGAUCCUCUUGCUAGUUUGGUUUUCCAUUUGUUUCUU